GGCUCACGCAGAAAAAGAAUGGGGAGUGGUUCCAACAAAACGUUUUGUUAUUUUAAUUUUUAUUUUAAAAGCAGAUUUUUGGAUAGCUUUUACAAAAAUUUGGAAUAUAGAUAAACGAAAAAUAUUGUUAUUUUUGUACGCUCAUUUUUUAUUGCAUUAAAAUGCAAUUUGGUUUAUUUUAAAUCCAAUAUGAGGUUUCUUCGAUAAACGUGUAACUAAAAAACGAUAACUUGAAUAAAAGAAAAAAAAAAGAUGAAAAACUUUCAGAAUCUGAAACACAACAGCGAGAAAAGUCAUCGAAAAAGUUAAGGCGAAGAAACUUAUACUGAAAGCAGCUUUAAAGAUGCUUCGACCCAAAACGUGCCGUCUACCCUUUCCAUCCACUGCUGCUCAACUGGAUACAAUCGAGCUGCUGGAUUCGAUCGAGUGUUAUAAAUCAGGUUCCCGGUUGGCAUUCUUGGCGUAUGUGUUGGCCGUCGGGGAACGCUUCGGCUUGUCCAGGACGAAGAUACCUUCGUCCUUUUCCUGCGCAUCUGGUUCACGAUGAACAUCACCACCAGAAAGUCGAAGAGCAGACGGCCUUCCCGAUGACAGCCGUUAGGAUGUUCUCCUGCCCAAAGAAGCUCGCGGUUCAGUCGCUGUGGUGCUCGUCCGUCAGCGUAAUGUGUUUGGUCUAGCUCAGAUCCAGGCCGUCCCUGAAGCAACUGGCUCGAGCGAUCGUGAAAAUUUUAAUAAUUGUAAGUUUUUGAUAAAUUCCAAUAAAAAUCUUUUGAACAUGCUAUAAA